rnacentral:rRNA from 1 species
UACGUAGGGUGCGAGCGUUAAUCGGAAUUACUGGGCGUAAAGCGUGCGCAGGCGGUUGUGCAAGACAGAUGUGAAAUCCCCGGGCUCAACCUGGGAACUGCGUUUGAAACUCCAAAGCUAGAGUAUAGGAGAGGGGGGUAGAAUUCCACGUGUAGCAGUGAAAUGCGUAGAGAUGUGGAGGAAUACCAAUGGCGAAGGCAGCCCCCUGGCUUAAUACUGACGCUCAUGCACGAAAGCGUGGGGAGCAAACAGG